rnacentral:tRNA from 1 species
GGAUAGGUGUCCGAGUGGCUGAAGGAGCACGCCUGGAAAGCGUGUAUACGUUCAUAGCGUAUCGAGGGUUCAAAUCCCUCCCUAUCCGCCA